rnacentral:rRNA from 1 species
CCUACGGGAGACAGCAGUAGGGAAUCUUCCACAAUGGGCGAAAGCCUGAUGGAGCAACGCCGCGUGGGUGAAGAAGGUCUUCGGAUCGUAAAACCCUGUUGUUAGAGAAGAAAGUGCGUGAGAGUAACUGUUCACGUUUCGACGGUAUCUAACCAGAAAGCCACGGCUAACUCCGUGCCAGCAGCCGCGGUAAUACGUAGGUGGCAAGCGUUGUCCGGAUUUAUUGGGCGUAAAGGGAACGGAGGCGGUCUUUUAAGUCUGAUGUGAAAGCCUUCGGCUUAACCGGAGUAGUGCAUUGGAAACUGGGAGACUUGAGUGCAGAAGAGGAGAGUGGAACUCGAGGUGUAGCGGUGAAAUGCGUAGAUAUAGGGAAGAACACCAGUGGCGAAGGCGGCUUUCUGGUCUGUAACUGACGCUGAGGUUCGAAAGCGUGGGUAGCAAACAGGAUUAGAUACCCGAGUAGUC